CUGACACGCUCUCGCGUC
rnacentral:misc_RNA from 1 species